UCGGUCUGUAUUAUUUUCACCGGCUUGUUCUAUCUAAAACUGUGCGGUCACUUCCUCAUUACUGUUUCAUCGUUUCGUUUUGGUGGUCAGCGUCGGGAGAACUUACAUAAGCUGAUGACCAACUUGAGGAGCACUCAUCCUCACUUUGUACGCUGCCUGAUCCCCAACGAGCCAAAGACUCCAGGUCUGAUGGAGAACUUCCUGGUUAUCCACCAGCUCAGGUGUAAUGGUGUUCUGGAGGGUAUCAGGAUCUGCAGGAAGAGCUUCCCCAGCAGAAUCAUCUACGCUGACUUCAAGCCAAAAUUACACACCCUCCCAAAACUGCUUAUAAUUCCAGUUCUGUUUGUGAUAUUAAGAUUCUAACAAUGAUA